rnacentral:rRNA from 1 species
GACGAACGCUGGCGGCGUGCCUAAUACAUGCAAGUCGAACGCAGUGGGGACGGGUGCGUAACACGUGGGUAACCUACCAUACGAGGGGAUAACACUUGGAAAAAGGUGCUAAACCGAUACUGAUGGAUGGACCUGCGGUGAAUUAGCUAGUGGGUGAGGUAACGGCUCACCAAGGCCACGAUGCAUAGCCGGCCUGAGAGGGUGAUCGGCCACACUGGGACUGAGACACGGCCCAGACUCCGACGGGAGGCAGCAGUAGGGAAUCUUCGACAAUGGACGAAAGUCUGACCGAGCAACGCCGCGUGAGUGAAGAAGGUUUUCGGAUCGUAAAACUCUGUUGUUAGGGAGGCGGUAUCUAACCAGAAAGCCACGGCUAACUACGUGCCAGCAGCCGCGGUAAUUC